rnacentral:rRNA from 1 species
GACGAACGCUGGCGGCGUGCUUAUCACAUGCAAGUCGAACGGAAAGGCCCUGCUUUUGUGGGGUGCUCGAGUGGCGAACGGGUGAGUAACACGUGAGUAACCUGCCCUUGACUUUGGGAUAACUUCAGGAAACUGGGGCUAAUACCGGAUAGGAGCUCCUGCUGCAUGGUGGGGGUUGGAAAGUUUCGGCGGUUGGGGAUGGACUCGCGGCUUAUCAGCUUGUUGGUGGGGUAGUGGCUUACCAAGGCUUUGACGGGUAGCCGGCCUGAGAGGGUGACCGGCCACAUCGGGACUGAGAUACGGCCCAGACUCCUACGGGAGGCAGCAGUGGGGAAUAUUGCACAAUGGGCGGAAGCCUGAUGCAGCAACGCCGCGUGCGGGAUGACGGCCUUCGGGUUGUAAACCGCUUUCGCCUGUGACGAAGCGUGAGUGACGGUAAUGGGUAAAGAAGCACCGGCUAACUACGUG